rnacentral:lncRNA from 1 species
GGUAGCAGUGUUGGGUAUCAAACCUUGAGAAUUUAACUCUAGAAAAAGCUGAUGAGCAAUGUGAGGCAUCCUUUUUCUAACUAAGGUUCGAACCAAUGAAGCACAAUCUACCAAGUUUCUCUCCUAAGGAUACGUCCUUCUCUCUCCCGUCACAAGAUGAUCUUCAAGAUAAAUCCCACAACCAAGUAAACCGAGCAAAGAGACAAAAUCAAUUAAAUGGAAGUUAAAAGCGCAGUAACUCUUGACAAUGAAGAGGACAAAUUUCGACAUUACCUCCGGGAAAAAGGUUGGUUAUUGUUGAA